GAGGGUAGAGCUCAGUGGUAGAGCACGUGCCUAGCACGUGCAAGGUCCUGGGUUCAAUCCCCAGCACUUCCA
rnacentral:tRNA from 1 species